rnacentral:lncRNA from 1 species
CUAUUACUCACUGAUUUUGGGUCCCACUGCGAUACGAAUGUUUCAGGAACCCCGGGGUCCGGUUACGGGGAACUCGUCAAAACACGCAGUUUUGGGUUAUUCUGCCGAGUUUUCUAAGCUAUUACUCAAUGAUUUUGGUUCCCGCUGCGAUCCAAACAUUUUGGGAACCCCGGGGUCAGGUUAAUGGGAAAUUAUGAAAACUCGCAGUUUUGGCCUAUUAUGGCCUGUUUUGUAUGGUAUUACUCACUGAUUUUGGUUGCCGCUACGAUACGAAUGUUUUGGGAACCCCGGGAUCCGGUUACGGGGAACUCGUCAAAACUCGCAGUUUUGGCUUAUUCUGCUGAGUUUUGUAAGAAUUACUCACUCAUAUUGGGUCCCGCUGCGAUCCGAACGUUUUGGGUACCCCGGGG